GCCCAAGCACAGAAGGGAAGGAAGAAGCAAGCAAACAUUUUUUCAGCUCUAUCAAAGCAGCUGUACAACAGUGGAAGCCUGCCCAUUCUUCCCUCCAGUUUCAACUAAAAGUUACUUUGGGAAUGGAAAAUUUGAUACCUCUAUCAACAGCCUGUGGUAUGUUUAAACUAUUAUAAUACGAAGCAUGCUCAGACUCACAAGCGAGAGGAAAUGACUGCCAAAUGCUUCCUUUACAACCUCUCCAGAAGAAGACAGAUUCUUUACCAAGAGAUUUUCUCCACACCCCACGGAUAGCAGCCAUGAGCACGCAGACACACCGAGUUAGCUGUGGAUUUACGGGCUCUCGCUGAAGGCACAGCAGAGAUACAAAACACGACUACAGCUGCCCACGUUUCUCAUAUAACGAUCACUUUGACAUUCAAGAGCUUCAGGAAUUCCAUAGCUCUCCUUAAGUAACAAUAAGCACAGGAUGUUCCAGCCACGGUCACAAUCUUUCCCUCCAGAUGCACAGAUACAACCUACAAACAGGAAGUUUUUGUUAAGAUCUUGAAGAAAUGUUAACAGUUUGGAACCACGUGAGCGCAGUUCUGUUAGAGGGGGAAGAAACCCUUCGCUUCCCAAUCGAAGGGAAAAGAUGGCAGACUCAUCUAUAAGAGUCAACACGAGGCCAUAUUCCAUCUCAUAGAUCCUUCUCCAAUGCAUGCACAUCCAACUAAGAGCCUAUUGAAGUACACGGAGGUAAUAAUCAAACCAGACGUCAGCACGUGCCCACCUCCUCUGUGCUGCAGCAUCCUGUCUUAGGGAAGACGACCUUUUGUCCUACUGAAAAACGUCUCUCUACACUUAGCAACACUUUUGGAAUAAAUUUACAACUGUGCAGCUCAGGGAGCACCGUGAGCUCCCUUACAUCACACACAUUACAUCAGCAGCUUGCUGGACUCAUCUUCGUUUGCUGCUAGGACAGACGGGCUUACUGAAAUAGGAGCAUCUCACACAAAGCGGGCUUCGAUGGAACAAAAGGCAGCAGAGGAUUUGGAUGGCCCUUGUCAGCCAAUUAGCAGGCAAAAAGGCCCUUCCAAAUUAUGUGCAGGAUGUUUUCCAUGCUAUAGAUGAAGAGGUGGCAACGAGUUAAGAAUGCUUUACUCUCGCUUGUUAAACACCCACCGCUGCAAACAGAGCCUGCUGUAAAUGUUAAUGUACAUCAGCUCCGUGCUACUUGUCAAAACAAGGCACGUUUUCCUACCAGCAUUCAACACAAGGGCUCACAAACGCUGCUCACAUGGCUCUGUUUGACUCCCAGCUUCCUCCAUGCAAAGGGCACAUACUCUGGCCACCCAGCUGCCCUCGGCUUCCCCAGACCCACUGACCCACGGGUGUGUGUCAGCCUCGUGCUGGAGGAAGGCUGUGGGGGCAACGAGCCACUUUCUCCCUAACACCGCUCUUCCAAUGGCCCAGCAGAACAAAAAUUAACAGCAGAGGCAUCCCAAGUCUUCCAUUCAGGUUCUCUCCAUGCAACCUGGCAAGAAAUAACAGCAAUCCCCAGGAAACACCACCGAGAAGAGCAGAACACGUCAUCUCCAUCAGGGCAGGCAAACAAGCAAUUUGGAGGGAAGAUGGUACAACAGGACACACGAGAAGAGCUCUCAGAACAGCACCACCCAGCAUCCCCACACCAACGCCUUGGUUUGGUACCUGGAUGGCCAAGCACUCCCAGCAGUCACACCUGACCUGGAAGGAGAGAAGCACAGCUGUGCUGCUGCACACAAGGACAAAGCCAUCCAGCCAGGCUGCAAGGUGAGCCUUCUCCAGCCAGGAGCAGGAAUCACAACCUUAUGUAAGACCUUAAACUAGACUGGGGUUUUAUUUUUAGGUAUUAGAGAAAUAGUUCUCGUGCUCUGAGAAAAAUCUAUUGAAAAGCUACCCGUGACCUGCAAGCACGUCCUAUUUUUAUGCAAUUACUGCCAACGCUGUCUUCUCAGGUUUUAAAUUGCUUGUCAGGAGGAGAUCAGCUUUUAAUUUAGGACGUUACUCCGAGGGUCAGAGCCACAAGCGAGGCCAGCAGCACUGCCAGCUCUGUGCCACGCUCACCCCCAGGGCCACACGGGCAGCAAGGGAUGGGUGCACAGCCACCGCCUGCUGGAGCUGACAGCCAUCCACCCCUUCGGGCUGGAGGAGGAACCACCCCUCCCCACGUUUUGCUACCAGUUAUUAUUAGCUGCUAGAAAGGCGCAUUAACAAUCACAGCAGGUCAAAUCACCUCUUCUUGCUUUGGACUACCUCGAGGCAAU
rnacentral:lncRNA from 1 species